UCCUGUAUAGCCCACAGUUUCCACCAUGUGAGUCUUUCAGUCAAGAGAGGAAAGAAAAACAUUUCACCACUAGGAAAAAUGUGAUUGCGAAAAUGCAAACAUUGACAGGGAGGAGCUACAGUUCUGGGAAAGAACUUUAAACUCUCUUUUAAAAACUGACUAGAUUUCAAGUUAACUACAUCCAUUUAACCGCCACCCCACCCCUCAACUGUGGUUUCAGCUGGACAUUAUUCAUACAAUGACAGAAAUGUAGGGCUGGAAGGGCCUUGAGAGGUCAUCUAGUCCAGCCCUUUGUGAUGAGGCACGACCAAGUAAUCUAUACCGUUCCUGUCAGGUGUUUGUCCAACCUCCAGUGAUGGGAUUCCACAACCUCUCUUGGAAGUCUAGUCCAGAACUUUACUAUCCUUAUAGUCAGAAAGCUUCCUUUCCUGGAUCUUUAAAAACACCAUUAUGCUGGCAGCUCCUGAGGCGGUUACCAACAGGACGACAAUCAGAACGGUCACUGGCGUACCUGUUAAAAGACAUGAUACAGAUCAUCCCCAGCUAUAUGGAGGCAGAAAAAAAUCUGGAUGGCACAACCAAACAGGGCUCAGGGACUUCACCCGCCGGAUCGCGUAUAGUGUAGAUGUGAUAAAUCGAUCCCCGAUCGCUCUCCCAUCGACUGCUGAACUCCAGCUCGGCGAGAGGAGGAAGCAAAGUUGAUCCCGCGCCACGAGGAUGCAAAGUUCCAGACUGACAAAAACAAGUGCUAAUAAACCAUCUUGGAGCAAUACUCGCCAGGUUGCCACUGACCUGCUGCAAAACGAAGAACACAAAUUUCCCAUUCACCAGCCCUAGAUGUUUGGCUUCCAGCAUGAUAGACCUAACAUCCGAAGAGCUGCAGAUUAAAACAAUAACUGCAAGAGAAAAAGGUGCGGUUAGUCAUUUGAUCCCCAUCCAUCCACCACAUUAAAAAAAAUGGACAAGACAAUCAGAGCUGCCAAUCAACACUAGGACGAUUUUUAAAAAGCUGAGUUAAAUUACAUGGCUCAUGGUUACACAUUGAACAUAUUUAUUGCUUUAGCCAGCAUGGACUGAUGUCAGUCGAAAGCUCUUUGUCAUGGACUUGUUUAAAUGAAACAUGCAUGGCUCACUGGGGCUUUCAGUGGUCGCUAGAAAGUAAGGAACGAGGAUCCUACACACUUUACCCACUACUUACUCAUGUGAGUAGUCCCAUUGAAGUCAAUGUGAUUUGUCAUGGGAGAAAGGGUGACUGUUAUGAAUAAGGGUUACCAGGGUCGCAGGCUUCUCUCUGCUACACAGUAGAGAGGUAGAAAAAUCUGUAUUAAUUUACUCAAGAAACAAAAUAGCAAAUCCACUGUGUAGCCCAAAACACACUGAGCAACCAAAGACAGCCAUGAAACAUCUGCAGACGCAAGUGGCAAUUUGAGAUGCUCAAUACAUUUCCUCACAGAAAGUGUUUUUUGGUUGUUUUGGUUGUUUGUUUUGUUUUGUUUUUAUUUUUUGUUCUUUGUCAAGGAGGGUUUCAAUACAAAAUAAAAAAAUU